GACCUACGGGAGGCAGCAGUAGGGAAUAUUGCUCAAUGGGGGAAACCCUGAAGCAGCAACGCCGCGUGGAGGAUGAAGGUUUUGGGAUUGUAAACCCGUUUUGUUAGAGAAGAUAAUGACGGUAUCUAACGAAUAAGUACCGGCUAAUUCCGCGCCAGCAGCCGCGGUAAUACGGAGGGUGCAAGCGUUACUCGGAAUCACUGGGCGUAAAGAGCGCGUAGGAGGGAUAGCAAGU
rnacentral:rRNA from 1 species